GGGUGUCUAGCUCAACUGGCAGAGCGCCGGUCUCCAAAACCGAAGGUUACAGGUUCGACUCCUGUGACGCCCG
rnacentral:tRNA from 1 species